UUGUUUUGUCCCUCAACGCUGGCUUGUUGUGUCCCUCAACGCUGGCUUGUUGUGUCCCUCAACGCUGGCUUGUUGUGUCCCUCAGCGCUGGAGGUUAUUUGCUUCAUGCAGUUUGUGUCAAAUCAGAAAUGACUACAGUGAAAAUGGAAAGAUGAUUUUCACAUGUUGGAUUUUGGAGGAAAGAUGCACUUUAAAAAUUGGUAUUUGUUUGUUUAGAAAUACAUACCUAUCUUUUAAGCAGUCCUGUGAACAUUCUCCAGUUUUUCUAUAACUCCUGGCUGAGGGCAUUCGUUGAACUAUUUGAGUGGUUGCCCCCACUGUUUUCCUAGACGGUGUCAUUGUAUAACUCAGUAACCAAGGUAAGUAACUACCACACAGUGAGUCCACUUGUUGUGUUUCUUCUCUAGCUCCACAAGCUGCUCACUGACCUGCCUGAUGACGUGUUGUUUCUUCUUCUCUAGCUCCACAAGCUGCUCACUGACCUGCCUGAUGACGUGUUGUUUCUUCUUCUCUAGCUCCACAAGCUGCUCACUGACCUGCCUGAUGACGUGUUGUUUCUUCUUCUCUAGCUCCACAAGCUGCUCACUGACCUGCCCGAUGACGUGUUGUUUCUUCUUCUCUAGCUCCACAAGCUGCUCACUGACCUGCCUGAUGACGUGUUGUUUCUUCUUCUCUAGCUCCACAAGCUGCUCACUGACCUGCCUGAUGACGUGUUGUUUCUUCUUCUCUAGCUCCACAAGCUGCUCACUGACCUGCCCGAUGACGUGUUGUUUCUUCUUCUCUAGCUCCACAAGCUGCUCACUGACCUGCCCGAUGACGUGUUGUUUCUUCUUCUCUAGCUCCACAAGCUGCUCACUGACCUGCCUGAUGACGUGUUGUUUCUUCUUCUCUAGCUCCACAAGCUGCUCACUGACCUGCCUGAUGACGUGUUGUUUCUUCUUCUCUAGCUCCACAAGCUGCUCACUGACCUGCCUGAUGACGUGUUGUUUCUUCUUCUCUAGCUCCACAAGCUGCUCACUGACCUGCCCGAUGACGUGUUGUUUCUUCUUCUCUAGCUCCACAAGCUGCUCACUGACCUGCCUGAUGACAUGCUGGAGGACAGCAGAGACUCCUCCUCUCCUGAGCUGGACUGCUCUGCCUGCAGCAACCCAGACACACGGAACAGAUCACAACAGCCUACGUGGAAUCACCAACACACUGAAUGGUCCGAUCGCCAAACACCUGCCUCACGUGAAGAAAACUAUGAGAAGGACUAUGACCACGGCUCCUACCAUGAAGAGUACCCCUACGAGGAGGCUGCUGUCGUUGGGCAGAUCAACGGCCAUGCCAACCAUGCCAGUCACCCCCAGGACUGGGACCAGCAAGGACUGA
rnacentral:lncRNA from 1 species